GUAGGUGGCAAGCGUUGUCCGGAAUUAUUGGGCGUAAAGCGCGCGCAGGCGGUCCUUUAAGUCUGAUGUGAAAGCCCACGGCUCAACCGUGGAGGGUCAUUGGAAACUGGGGGACUUGAGUACAGAAGAGGAAAGCGGAAUUCCAAGUGUAGCGGUGAAAUGCGUAGAGAUUUGGAGGAACACCAGUGGCGAAGGCGGCUUUCUGGUCUGUAACUGACGCUGAGGCGCGAAAGCGUGGGGAGCAAACAGGAUUAGAUACCCUGGUAGUCCACGCCGUAAACGAUGAGUGCUAAGUGUUAGGGGGUUUCCGCCCCCCUUAGUGCUGCAGCUAACGCAUUAAGCACUCCGCCUGGGGAGUACGGCCCGCAAGGCUG
rnacentral:rRNA from 1 species